rnacentral:rRNA from 1 species
GACGAACGCUGGCGGCGUGCCUAAUACAUGCAAGUAGAACGCUGAAGCUUGGUGCUUGCACCGAGCGGAUGAGUUGCGAACGGGUGAGUAACGCGUAGGUAACCUGCCUGGUAGCGGGGGAUAACUAUUGGAAACGAUAGCUAAUACCGCAUAAUAGUAGAUGUUGCAUGACAUUUGCUUAAAAGGUGCAAUUGCAUCACUACCAGAUGGACCUGCGUUGUAUUAGCUAGUUGGUGAGGUAACGGCUCACCAAGGCAACGAUACAUAGCCGACCUGAGAGGGUGAUCGGCCACACUGGGACUGAGACACGGCCCAGACUCCUACGGGAGGCAGCAGUAGGGAAUCUUCGGCAAUGGACGGAAGUCUGACCGAGCAACGCCGCGUGAGUGAAGAAGGUUUUCGGAUCGUAAAGCUCUGUUGUAAGAGAAGAACGAGUGUGAGAGUGGAAAGUUCACACUGUGACGUAUCUACCAGAAAG